GAGGAAAACGGGUGGAUCCGCAAAGUCGGCCCGCGGAAUUCAGCGCGGCGUGCGGCCUGGGGCUGUCUCGGCCUGGGAUCCUCUGGACCCGGACGGGGCGCCUCUCCGGGCCUCGCCGCGUGCACUUUCCGCGGGCAGAGCGCUACGACCGGCUUCGUGGGCGGCUACAUGCUGAGGAUGGCAAGGUGAGCGCGCGCCUCGUGCGUGCGCGUUAUAGGCCGCCUCGGCGAGCCGUCCCGGGGCCGAGGGACGACCGCGCGCCUCGAGGCCUCCCGGCCUCCGGGGAGUUCGACUGGCGGGGACCGGGAUUCUCCCGUGCCCACCGACCGCUCUCUCGUGACUGGAUCGGGCUGGCCGGGCGCGCAUCAGGGUCA
rnacentral:rRNA from 1 species